AUUGAACGCUGGCGGCAGGCCUAACACAUGCAAGUCGAGCGGAUGACGGGAGCUUGCUCCUUGAUUCAGCGGCGGACGGGUGAGUAAUGCCUAGGAAUCUGCCUGGUAGUGGGGGACAACGUUUCGAAAGGAACGCUAAUACCGCAUACGUCCUACGGGAGAAAGCAGGGGACCUUCGGGCCUUGCGCUAUCAGAUGAGCCUAGGUCGGAUUAGCUAGUUGGUGGGGUAAUGGCUCACCAAGGCGACGAUCCGUAACUGGUCUGAGAGGAUGGUCAGUCACACUGGAACUGAGACACGGUCCAGACUCCUACGGGAGGCAGCAGUGGGGAAUAUUGGACAAUGGGCGAAAGCGUGAUCCAGCCAUGCCGCGUGUGUGAAGAAGGUCUUCGGAUUGUAAAGCACUUUAAGUUGGGAGGAAGGGCAGUAAGUUAAUACCUUGCUGUUUUGACGUUACCGACAGAAUAAGCACCGGCUAACUCUGUGCCAGCCGCCACGGUAA
rnacentral:rRNA from 1 species